rnacentral:misc_RNA from 1 species
ACAAACUAAUAAUUCUAAUUUGCAGUGUCUGAACAAAAUGGGAUAUAACCUUUCUAAGGUUGAAAAAUAAGGAUGUCUUAAUCUCCUAUGCCACUAAAUGAUCUCCUGAUCAGCUCCUAUUGAAUUUCCUAGCAAAGCUUUAGGAUUUGAGAAACCAAUAGUGUCGUCCAGCAAAUACAAGACAUCUUGCAUUUUACCACUGCCAAUCAUUCUUCUUAUUUUCAAUUUCUGAAAUUUGCAAUAGGGAGGAAAAAUUUAAUUUUGCAAUUAAGG